GUAGGGGGGGUUGCCAGGUAAAUCCGGUGACCCAUUCAACCCCGAGGUGUGAUGACGAGGUCCUACUGGACCGAAGUAACUGAUGCCACGCUUCCAGGAAAAGCCUCUAAGCUUCAGGUAACACUGGACCGUACCGAAAACCGACACUGGUGGGCGGGUAGGUAAUCUACCAAGGCGCUUGAGAGAACUCGGGUUAAGGAACUCUGCAAAUUGAUACCGUAACUUCGGAAGAAGGUAUGCCUUCGAUGGUGAAAGGACUUGCUCCUCUAGCUGUUGAAGGUCGCAGGUAUCGUGGCUGCGACUGUUUAUCAAAAACACAGGACUCUGCGAACACGUAAGUGGAAGUAUAGGGUCUGACGCCUGCCCGGUGCCGGAAGGUUAAUUGAUGGGGUCAGCCGCAAGGCGAAGCUCUUGAUCGAAGCCCCGGUAAACGGCGGCCGUAACAAUAACGGUCCUAAGGUAGCGAAAUUCCUUGUCGGGUAAGUUCCGACCUGCACGAAUGGCGUAACGCUGGCCACACUUCUCGACCCGAGACUCAGUGAAGUUGAAAUCGCUGUGAAGAUGCGGCGUUCCCGCGGCAAGACGGAAAGGCCCCGUGAACCUUUACUACAGCUUUACACUGAACUUUGAAUCUUCUUGUGUAGGAUAGGUGGGAGGCUAUGAAGUCCGGACGCUAGUUCGGAUGGAGCCAACCUUGAAAUACCACCCUGGAAUAUUCGGAGUUCUAACCUUGGCCCAUUAUCUGGGUUGGGGACAGUGUAUGGUGGGUAGUUUGACUGGGGCGGUCUCCUCCCAAAGAGUAACGGAGGAGUGCAAUGGUACGCUCAGCGCGGUCGGUCAUCGCGCUCUAGAGUGCAAAGGCAUAAGCGUGCUUAACUGCGAGACGGACAUGUCGAGCAGGUACGAAAGUAGGUCUUAGUGAUCCGGUGGUUCUGUAUGGAAGGGCCGUCGCUCAACGGAUAAAAGGUACUCCGGGGAUAACAGGCUUAUUCCUCCCAAGAGUCCACAUCGACGGAGGAGUUUGGCACCUCGAUGUCGGCUCAUCACAUCCUGGGGCUGUAGCAGGUCCCAAGGGUAUGGCUGUUCGCCAUAUAAAGUGGUACGCGAGCUGGGUUCAGAACGUCGUGAGACAGUUCGGUCCCUAUCUGCCGUGGGCGUUGGAAACUUGAGGGUGAGCUGUCCUUAGUACGAGAGGACCGGGAUGGACGUAUCUCUGGUGUUCCGGUUGUCACGCCAGUGGCACUGCCGGGUAGCUAUAUACGGACGGGAUAACCGCUGAAAGCAUCUAAGCGGGAAGCCCCCCCCAAGAUUAGGUUUCCCUGGGAACUCGAUUCCCCUGAAGGGCCGUCGCAGACUACGACGUUGAUAGGCUGGGUGUGUAAGCGCAGCAAUGCGUUCAGCUAACCAGUACUAAUUGCCC
rnacentral:rRNA from 1 species